GUGGGGAAUCUUAGACAAUGGGGGAAACCCUGAUCUAGCCAUGCCGCGUGAGCGAUGAAGGCCUUAGGGUUGUAAAGCUCUUUCAGCUGGGAAGAUAAUGACGGUACCAGCAGAAGAAGCCCCGGCUAACUCCGUGCCAGCAGCCGCGGUAAUACGGAGGGGGCUAGCGUUGUUCGGAAUUACUGGGCGUAAAGCGCACGUAGGCGGAUCAGAAAGUCAGAGGUGAAAUCCCAGGGCUCAACCUUGGAACUGCCUUUGAAACUCCUGAUCUUGAGGUCGAGAGAGGUGAGUGGAAUUCCGAGUGUAGAGGUGAAAUUCGUAGAUAUUCGGAGGAACACCAGUGGCGAAGGCGGCUCACUGGCUCGAUACUGACGCUGAGGUGCGAAAGCGUGGGGAGCAAACAGGAUUAGAUACCCUUGUAGUCC
rnacentral:rRNA from 1 species